AUUGAACGCUGGCGGCAUGCCUUACACAUGCAAGUCGAACGGUAACAGGUCUUCGGAUGCUGACGAGUGGCGAACGGGUGAGUAAUACAUCGGAACGUGCCUAGUAGUGGGGGAUAACUACUCGAAAGAGUGGCUAAUACCGCAUGAGAUCUAUGGAUGAAAGCAGGGGAUCGCAAGACCUUGUGCUACUAGAGCGGCCGAUGGCAGAUUAGGUAGUUGGUGGGAUAAAAGCUUACCAAGCCGACGAUCUGUAGCUGGUCUGAGAGGACGAUCAGCCACACUGGGACUGAGAAACGGCCCAGACUCCUACGGGAGGCAGCAGUAGGGAAUUUUGGACAAUGGGCGCAAGCCUGAUCCAGCAAUGCCGCGUGCAGGAUGAAGGCCUUCGGGUUGUAAACUGCUUUUGUACGGAACGAAAAGCCCCGGGUUAAUACCCUGGGGUCAUGACGGUACCGUAAGAAUAAGCACCGGCUAACUACGUGCCAGCCGCCGCCGUAA
rnacentral:rRNA from 1 species